AAUCAACGCUGGCGGCGUGCCUCAGACAUGCAAGUCGAACGAUUAAAGCUCUCUUCGGAGAGUGUAUAGAGUGGCGCACGGGUGAGUAACACGUAAGUAAUCUACCCUCGAGUGGGGAAUAACAACCGGAAACGGUUGCUAAUACCGCAUAAUGCAGCGGCACCGCAAGGUGACAGUUGUUAAAGAUUUAUCGCUUGAGGAGGAGCUUGCGGCAGAUUAGCUAGUUGGUAGGGUAACGGCUUACCAAGGCUACGAUCUGUAACCGGUCUAAGAGGACGGUCGGUCACACUGACACUGAAUAACGGGUCAGACUCCUACGGGAGGCAGCAGUCGGGAAUUUUGGGCAAUGGGCGAAAGCCUGACCCAGCAACGCCGCGUGAAGGAUGAAGUAUUUCGGUAUGUAAACUUCGAAAGAAUAGGAAGAAUUAAUGACGGUACUAUUUAUAAGGUCCGGCUAACUACGUGCCAGC
rnacentral:rRNA from 1 species